rnacentral:lncRNA from 1 species
GACCACUGUCAAUGCAGUGUUCUUAAGUGGAUGGCGUUCUUUCUACAAGUUGUGGCACGUUCCAGUAGGGAAAGUCUUUUGCCAAGCAGGUGGGGGAAAUAAAGGUAGAUUAAUGUGCAGUAGAAAAGGAGAGAACUUUGGAAUGUGGCUCUACCUCAGGAAUACACACGGGCAUGCUGCAGCAAAGCCCUUUUCACAAUAGCCAAGACAUGGAAACAACCUACAUGUCCAUUGACAGAUGAAUGGAUUAAGAAGAUGUGGUACAUAUACGCAAUGGAAUACUACUCAGCCAUAAAAAAGAAAAAAAAUAAUGCCAUUUACAGCAACAUGGAUGGAACUAGAGACUCUCAUACUAAGUGAAUGUCUUUGUUUUCUGACUUCUGUUCCAUGCAUGCCAUGACUACUCUUGUCUCUGCUUCUGACCUUUAUGAGAAUGUCUCAAGACUCAGCCUCCAUUAGGAAUGUGUCUUUCUUGGGCUGAGCAAUGAGGACCAGGCUGAAUGCAGCUUUCUAACAUGUUCCUUGUACACCAGAUCUCUGCCAAAUAAUGGAGUCUCAGAACUGGAAGGUCUCAUCUAGGGUAGACAGUCUGUUUAAUCUCAGUUGGUCUAACUGCUAUCAAGUUCUGGUCAUCUUAGCUUGGGUAAAUGAUUGAGAACUGGUUCAGAUACUCUAUAGAGAACUCUAUUUGUCAUAUUCUAGGUCCCAAACCUUGGCUCAGUAAGACUUCAAUACACACACACACACACACAUGGAUUUUGGUUGUUCUUAUUGUUAUAUAAAUUUUGUCCUAAAGCUGUAACCAGUACAUGCUCACUAUAGUAAAAUUUGCAAAUUAUAGAAAAAUAAUAGGAAAAGAGAAAAAUUACCCCAAUUCCACCUAGAGACAAUGACUGAUUUGAGGGAUAUUUCCUUCUACUCUUUAUUUCUUAUGCAGUUUUCCUUUCUUCACAUAGUACAUUUUUGCACCCUACUUUUAAAAAUGUGAAUUAUAAGUAUUUUUCCAUUUUACCACACACUCUUUUUAAUAACAUUUUGGAUGAUUGCCUAGCAUUCCACAUAGUGCAGUGCAUUUCAGAAAGAACAUAACUUGGUGGAGGAGACUACAACAUGCUCAUAGAGUCAGCUUUGAUUGUGUUCCCAAAUGAGUAAGGCAGGGGUAUAAAACCUUAUGGAUACCACGGUGUCCUCAGAGGGUGCGAGCAGAUGUACCAUAUCUCAGCAGAGCUUCUCUUGCUCUGCACUGAUCCAUGUGAGGCACAUGGCUUCAGCUGGUACUCUCCAUAUUAGGUCUCCACAACACUUUUAUCAUCCGUUUGCAUCCUUGGAAGACUAUACACUUUUGUUGAAAAUAAUUAUUACAGCACUAAACUUUGCUGGAACCAAACUCAGCAAGAAUAAGUGAUGUACCUGCCUUGGAGGAUGUGUCAGUUAUCUGUUUAUUACUUCACAGUUAUAAAUUUGCUCUUCAUUGCCUACUCUGAGAAAGUGGAUAUGGGCCCUUUAAAUAUUUUUUCUUUGCCAGAUGGUGCCAUGUUAAACUUUGCCAAUAGAUAGUGCUUGAGAAACACUGCAGGAGGGAAGUAUUUUGCUUCCUAGUCUGGCCUGCUCCCUAGACAGGCUCCUGGAGUGCAUGGGGCUUCUGACCAGCACCUACUGUCAUAGUAGCCAGCAAUAACCAGUGGCCAGCACUUUACUCUUUCAUCUCUUCUUGGGUGACUUUGUAGUAGAAUGCCUCUAGUGAGACAUCUCCCUGUGAACAGCUUUCCCAGCACCCUAAAGAAUGGAUUUCCAGCAAAUUCCAGAAAGCAGAUUUCCAGCAUAUUUGGUGAGCAUACACUGUAGCUAUCUCUCUGCCAUUCAUUAGUCUAGUCUGUGCUCUUGCCAGUCAAGUCUGGAUUUUUUUUAGCCCUGUCUGUGGAGAGGAUGGGGUCAUACCUUGGGUACUGAAUCUCAGCCCUCUGGGCAGGAGCUGCUCCCCAUUUCCAUAUCCUUUAGAGUUCCUUUUACUCCUGAGUAGCCUAUUCCUUUUUAUGCCGAUCUCCUGAUAUAAUUAAUAGUGAUUUAUAUUAAAUAUUCCUGUUCAAAUCA